rnacentral:rRNA from 1 species
GACGAACGCUGGCGGCGUGCCUAAUACAUGCAAGUCGAACGCUGAAGCUUGGUGCUUGCACCGAGCGGAUGAGUUGCGAACGGGUGAGUAACGCGUAGGUAACCUGCCUGGUAGCGGGGGAUAACUAUUGGAAACGAUAGCUAAUACCGCAUAAGAGUAGAUGUUGCAUGACAUUUGCUUAAAAGGUGCAAUUGCAUCACUACCAGAUGGACCUGCGUUGUAUUAGCUAGUUGGUGAGGUAACGGCUCACCAAGGCAACGAUACAUAGCCGACCUGAGAGGGUGAUCGGCCACACUGGGACUGAGACACGGCCCAGACUCCUACGGGAGGCAGCAGUAGGGAAUCUUCGGCAAUGGACGGAAGUCUGACCGAGCAACGCCGCGUGAGUGAAGAAGGGUUUCGGAUCGUAAAGCUCUGUUGUAAGAGAAGAACGAGUGUGAGAGUGGAAAGUUCACACUGUGACGGUAUCUUACCAGAAAGAGACGGCUAACUACGUG